AACAUAUCCAGAGGGUAUUGUCUAGUCAGCAGCUUGUACCUCUCCCAAGCUUCAUAUAAGGUCUCACCAUCCUUUUGUCUGAAGGUCUGAACCUCCACCCUAACCUU